UUCCCGGGCCGGGACGCAGAACUUCGCCUGCGUUCAGAAGCCGGGACGUCGGCCGGCCGCACGCAGGGCGGCUGCGGAGCGCACAGCAGGCACCGGCGCGGCCGCGGGCCCGGCUCCCCUCCCCUCCCGGCGGUGCGCCGCACGGAGGAGCCACGAGGGGCCGCGCGCCCGAGCUGUCCGGCCGCCCUCGCCUCGCCCGCAGCCCGGCACGAGCCAUGAGCCCCGGCGAGCGCCCGGCCGGCGGCGCCCACGGGCGGAAGAGCGUCCCCGCGGGCCCCACGACGACGGCGGCCGGCGCGCUGUGCCUGCUGCUCUCGCUGGGCUCGGCCGCCGCCUGCCUGCUGCUGGGCGCCCAGGGCGCGGCGCUGCGGGCGCGCGUGGCGGCGCUGGAGGAGGAGCGGGAGCUGCUGCGGCGCGGGGGCCGCCCGGACGCGCUGGCCACCUGGGCCGAGCCACACCUGGAGCGCCUGCUGCGGGAGAAGUGGGAUGGCCUGGCCAAGCUGCGGACUGCUCGGGAAGCCCCUGCGGAGUGCGUCUGCCCCCCAGGUAGGUGAAGGUGGCCCUUGCUGGCUCCCGCUCUCUGGCCCUGGUCCU
rnacentral:lncRNA from 1 species